AUUGACCAAGGGAAUGUUUUACUCGCGAAUUUUUCAGCGAGAGACGGAAUGGAUGCUCGCUAGCUUUCCUCAAAGUUAGCUCAUAAAAGACAACUACAAGGAUUGA
rfam:Vibrio sp. JCM 19231 DNA, contig00002.